rnacentral:lncRNA from 1 species
AGAAGUCUCUUCCGGGACAGCUGUACCCUCUAGUAGUCUCUUUUUGGAACUCCUCUUCCCCUGACUCCUACAUUCCCCCCAAAAUGUGCUCAUACAAGUCAGAGUCGGAAGGGUCAGACAAUGAACCAUGUUUCCGACAUCCUCUUAAGUGCUAGGAUAACUACCAUUUAGUGCAUUCAGAAGAAAUAAGGUUAAAUGAUGAAAAUCCUUACAGAAAAGAAAAUUGAGACUCAGAGCUGGCAGAGGGGGUGGUAAGAUGGGGUGGGGAGUGGGGGCUGGGGAAUCCGGGAAAGUCUUCCGGAGACAGAACCUAAACUGAAUUGGGAAUAAUUAAACUUUUUCAGUUUCUACCUGUUUCAUUACAAAGCUUAUAAUAACACAGGCUGUAGCAAAUUCUUACAAUACGGAACUUUGCACACGCACACAUAAAUAAAUAAACUACCUAUCCCCCUUGUGA